rnacentral:lncRNA from 1 species
AUUUUGUCCGGAGGUUCAGCCACCUCUCUUGUCAAGGCACAGCAGGGGCUGUUGCUUGCCUGGGAACCCUGCCAAAGCUGUAACAGCACUCAAUUCACCUAGCAGGGGCCACCUGCUUCAGGGGCAUUGUGGACCAGUCCUCUGGACACUAGUUUUUGGAAGAAGGGACUUGACAGCCCCGGUGAGUGGUGAGAUUGAGUGGCACCAGGUGGACUGCUUGCCUGAGGCCGCUCACCCCAUGCAACUGCAAUUCCCAAGCCUUUUCCCUGGAUGUCAGCCUCUAUCCACAGCGAGGUGUCUCUUGAAAAUGGCUAUAAAACUUCUUGUCAAAUUGGAGUACUUUGGAAUAUUUAGGAAAAGUUGGCAGAGAGGAGACAGGACUAAAGUGCAGCUCCCACUUGGAUGAACUGAACAGUGUGUGGAGACUCACAUUGUGAAUUUUUGCUCCAAGAACUACCUCAGGAACAUACCAGAAAAACCAAAAGAAUUCACAGACCCUUUGAAAAAAGUGGCUUGCCAGUGCAAACUCCAUGAGACAGCUGAAAAACUGUGCUCUCUGUACACAGAGGGUUUUGUCUGUUUGGUCACCGAUAUAUCUUCAGUGCCCAGAACAGUGCAUGGCAAUGGCAGACUCUCAACUGAUGGUUUAAAGAGGUUGUCUUUUCCAAGGCCCAUCACCUGCUUCACAGAAUUUUCAGCUCUUUUGACAAUUUCCAAGACAAGGGAUGAGUUCCAGCCACCAUGUCAUGAGGAGACCCUGGAUACCCCAGCUCAGAGCCUAGAUUUCCAUUUUCUAGACUAUGCUUUGGGUCUUCAACUUCCACGCCAACACCAGAGGAUAAGUAUUUGAGACCCCCACAUUGGUCAUCCAACUAUGAAAAAAUUCUCAUUUUAAGCAUAUACAGCUUAAAAAAAGAAUCAACUUCAUGUAUUUGGAAAACCGUAAGUGCCAUCUUCCAUCAUUCAAAAAUGUCUGUAACAGACCAGCAUUAUUGACAGUUCUGAGCUAGACCGAAGGAACUCUUUUCUAUGACUUCAACAGAAAUAUUUUGUUAUUACAAUGUUUGCAAACAUUUUUAAGGUAUUGUUCAGUCAAAUGAUAGUCCCUAUAGCUUGCAACUCAAAAUAUCAUGGUGGUGAAAUACUCAUUAGUCACCUGCUAUAACUUCAAUGGAAUGUGCUAGGACACGGAGUUUGUAAAAGCAGAUAUUGUCUUGUUAAGCUGUCAGGUCCCAUAAUGUACAGCCUCACGCAAGGACACUGUCAUCAGGAAAAAGGCUUAGAUUAUGUGCUCCAAGUACACCAAGAAACUGGUUUCUGGAAACCCGACUUUUCAAUGAACGCUUGUUAAAGCAGAGUUAAUGUGUUUCCUACUGUUAUAACAAUGACGUGUGAGUCACAUAUGUGGUUUCGAGAUUCCUAAACUGGAUCUGCCUGGCUGCUGAUGUAAUCAGAAAUAACCUCUGGCUGUUUGAGACUAUAAUAUUCUGGAGGAAAACUGCCCAGCUGAUGCAACUGCUGAUUUUUGUUAACGCUAUCACCAACAUUCCC